rnacentral:sRNA from 1 species
GGAUGUGAGUGCUGACCUGGCUGGCUAGGCCCGUGUCCCCUUCCUGCCUCACUGCCCUACAUGCGUCCCUCCUGAAGCUGCACACUUGGUCAAAGAGGACAGCCAUCCCCGACAGAGGAGGACCCAUCUUUGGUCAAGCAUACGAAUAGCUGUGCUCUCUGUUAGAAUCUCUAAGCCUGCUCUCGAAAAAGAGACGCAGCAAGGUUCUAUCCCCGGGUCAGGAAGAUCCCCUGGAGGA